rnacentral:rRNA from 1 species
UGGGGAAUAUUGCACAAUGGGGGAAACCCUGAUGCAGCGACGCCGCGUGAGCGAAGAAGGCUUUCGAGUCGUAAAGCUCUGUCCUAUGAGAAGAUAAUGACGGUAUCAUAGGAGGAAGCCCUGGCUAAAUACGUGCCAGCAGCCGCGGUAAUACGUAUGUUGCGAGCGUUAUCCGGAAUUAUUGGGCUUAAAGGGCAUCUAGGCGGUAAGACAAGUUGAAGGUGAAAACCUGUGGCUCAACCAUAGGCUUGCCUACAAAACUGUUGAACUAGAGUACUGGAAAGGUGGGUGGAACUACACGAGUAGAGGUGAAAUUCGUAGAUAUGUGUAGGAAUGCCGCUGAUGAAGAUAACUCACUGGACAGAAACUGACGCUGAAGUGCGAAAGCUAGGGGAGCAAACAGG